rnacentral:rRNA from 1 species
AUUGAACGCUGGCGGCAUGCCUAACACAUGCAAGUCGAACGAGUGGCGGACGGGUGAGUAAUAUAUGGGAACGUGCCCAGUAGGGGGGGAUAACUACUAGAAAGAGUGGAUAAUACCGCAUACUAUUGGAUGGGCCGAUAUGGGAUUAGCUAGUGGGGGGGGUAAAGGCUCACCAAGGCAACGACCCCUAGCGGGUUGGAGAGGAUGACCAGCCACACUGGGACUGAGACACGGCCCAGACUCCUACGGGAGGCAGCAGUGGGGAAUAUUGCACAAUGGGGGAAACCCUGAUGCAGCCAUGCCGCGUGUGUGAAGAAGGCCUUCGGGUUGUAAAGUACUUUUAGCGGGGAGGCGGUACCUGCAGAAGAAGCACCGGCUAACUCCGUGCCAGCAGCCGCGGUAAUUC